GAUGAACGCUGGCGGCGUGCCUAAUACAUGCAAGUCGAGCGAACGGACGAGAAGCUUGCUUCUCUGAGGUUAGCGGCGGACGGGUGAGUAACACGUGGAUAACCUACCUAUAAGACUGGGAUAACUUCGGGAAACCGGAGCUAAUACUGGAUAAUAUUUUGAACCGCAUGGUUCAAAAGUGAAAGACGGUCUUGCUGUCACUUAUAGAUGGAUCCGCGCUGCAUUAGCUAGUUGGUGAGGUAACGGCUUACCAAGGCAACGAUGCAUAGCCGACCUGAGAGGGUGAUCGGCCACACUGGAACUGAGACACGGUCCAGACUCCUACGGGAGGCAGCAGUAGGGAAUCUUCCGCAAUGGGCGAAAGCCUGACGGAGCAACGCCGCGUGAGUGAUGAAGGUCUUCGGAUCGUAAAACUCUGUUAUUAGGGAAGAACAUAUGUGUAAGUAACUGUGCACAUCUUGACGGUACCUAAUCAGAAAGCCACGGCUAACUACGUG
rnacentral:rRNA from 1 species